UACGUAGGGUGCAAGCGUUAAUCGGAAUUACUGGGCGUAAAGCGUGCGCAGGCGGUUUUGUAAGACUGUCGUGAAAUCCCCGGGCUCAACCUGGGAAUGGCCAUGGAAACUGGCGAACUGGAGUGUGGCAGAGGGGGGUGGAAUUCCGCGUGUAGCAGUGAAAUGCGUAGAGAUGCGGAGGAACACCGAUGGCGAAGGCAGCCCCCUGGGCUAGCACUGACGCUCAGGCACGAAAGCGUGGGGAGCAAACAGG
rnacentral:rRNA from 1 species